rnacentral:rRNA from 1 species
UCGAGAAUCUUCGGCAAUGGACGCAAGUCUGACCGAGCGACGCCGCGUGCGGGAUGAAGGCCUUCGGGUUGUAAACCGCUGUCAGAGGGGAUGAAAUCAGGUAGGGCUAUCCCUAUUUGUUGACAUAUCCUCAGAGGAAGUACGGGCUAAGUUCGUGCCAGCAGCCGCGGUAAGACGAACCGUACGAACGUUAUUCGGAAUUACUGGGCUUAAAGGGUGCGUAGGCGGCGCGGAAAGUUGGGUGUGAAAGCCCUCGGCUCAACCGAGGAACUGCGCUCAAAACUGCCGUGCUUGAGGGAGACAGAGGUGAGCGGAACUGAUGGUGGAGCGGUGAAAUGCGUUGAUAUCAUCAGGAACACCGGUGGCGAAAGCGGCUCACUGGGUCUCUUCUGACGCUGAGGCACGAAAGCCAGGGGAGCGAACGGGAUUAGAUACCCCCGUAGUCC